AGUGCGGCGAGCGAAGCGGGAAGAGCUCAAAUUUAUAAUCUGGCACUUUCAGUGUCCGAGUUGUAAUCUCUAGAAGUGUUUUCCGCGUUGGACCGCACACAAGUCUGUUGGAAUACAGCGGCACAGUGGUGACACCCCCGUACACGGUGCGGACGCCCAGCGCUUUGUGAUACACUUUCGAAGAGUCGAGUUGUUUGGGAAUGCAGCUCAAAUUGGGUGGUAAAUUCCAUCUAAAGCUAAAUAUUGGCGAGAGACCGAUAGCGAACAAGUACCGUGAGGGAAAGAUGAAAAGCACUUUGGAAAGAGAGUUAACAGUACGUGAAAUUGUUGGAAGGGAAACGCUUGAAGUCAGACUUGCUUGCCGGAGCUUGCUUCGGUUUGCAGGCCAGCAUCAGUUUUCCGGGGUGGAUAAUGGCGGUUAGAAGGUAGCAGCUUCAGCUGUGUUAUAGCUUUCCGCUGGAUACAUCCUGGGGGACUGAGGAACGCAGCGUGCUUUUAGCGGGGGUUUCGACCUCUUCACGCUUAGGAUGCUGGUGUAAUGGCUUUAAACGACCCGUCUUGAA
rnacentral:rRNA from 1 species